rnacentral:tRNA from 1 species
GGCAGAAUGGUAUAGUGUUGGAUUAGGAUUCUUAAGACCAGGGUUCGAUCCCCUGUUCAGCCA